UAAAGAAAAGGACACUCUCAGGAGGAAGGGCAGUGACAGCUCCACGUCUGCACAAGUCAGCGCCGCCAGUGGUGAUGGCAGCGCCGAGGAGGGCGCCUAGGCCGGGACCACCAUGCGGGGGGACAAUGGACAGAGGUGGGGAGUGACGCAAGAGGAGAAGGCAGUCGCCUGCUGGGCCCUCCUUGCGAGUGAGGGCUUGGAAACGUCUCUGGAAACAGACAGCCAGGUGGCAGAACUGCCCUCAAUCCACCCGCGGUGUUUACCGGGACUCGGGGCGGCGGCGACUUCUCAGUCCCUCGACUAAGAUGGCAGCCGGUCCCGAGCCCCGACUACAGCGACUAGGGCAAGUAAGCGGCCAAUGCGCAGGCGCCUCCACUCGGCCGCGGUUCAGACUACAAGCCCCAGCAGGCCUCGCGCGCCGACCAGCUAAAUCCGAGUUUUCCUCCGCUUCAGCCCCAAUAUGUGUGAAGUGAUAAAACCCGAACCAGUGCCACAAGACCAGCUCAUUUCACUCGGUGACUGACCCAGCUCGACGGCAACCUGCCAGACAAGAUCUCAGAUGAGGCCGAGACAUCAGAUGCCCGCCCAGUGUGGACCCGUGGAUUGAGGAGGAGGCAACCGGAUCGACAACCACAAUCACCAGGAAAGGAGAAACAAAGUCGUGCUCCUCGGACUUGUGCAGGAUAUGUACGUCAGCCUGGACAGAAUCCAGCCUUGCUAGGCAGAGCAGAGACUGGAAGCCCAAAGGAGCCUGCCACUAACACUAGCAAGGGAAGGAGUUUCCCAGACUACUUGGAAGAGGAAAGAUGGAAGGAAGAUGGCUGCAGAGCGGGAAGGAGUUGGGAGAGAGACCCAAGCAGCCCACUUGCCGUCUGUCACUU